CGAGAGCCCUGAGUCCCUCCCCAGCAUGGGGGCAGGCCGAGUGCUGGUGGUGCUGAUGGCAGUGCCUACUCCUUCAACAGUCCCAGCUUCUUCAGUGCCUCCCUUCUGUGCUCAUCGGGGACGCCCUUCGGGCAGCCAUCGAAACCUUGAAAUAUUUCUGCUUGAUAAGAAACCUGAGAAACAAGUAAAGCGCUCAAGGUAAACCUGACAUGCAAACUGCCAGCUGGGACACCUUGAGGAAAAUAAAGCACAACUACUACCAUGGACUGGUCUUCCUCUCUUUGGACUCUGCCACACUACCUUGGCCUGAGUCCUCCUGGAACUCCGACCAGACUCUGCACGCUGCCAUAAAAUGUUAAUGUGGGGAAGGCCUGGCACAGUUGAGUGACUUUCUGUUUAAUGGUCUCGGUACCUAUUAUCUAGGCAAAGUCGGAAAACUGAGUUGCAACCCAAAUAAGCUUGAUAUUACAGCCAGAUUAUCCUUGAGUUUUCCAAAGAUGAGCUGGUAGAUCGAGUUGGACUUUUCUCAAUGUGCCCAAAUCUCCCGUCCCCUUACAUACAAGCACAACUCACACCCUGCACACCUGUCCACAGAGAGCUCCAUUAUCAAGACACCAUGAUCGGACAUGCACGCACCGCACCAUUUAUUUAACCAUAGACACCGAGGUAUCUUAGGAGACGUUUCCUGUUACAAAUGCAAUAGAAAAUCAAAGCAUGCCACUCACUUGAGGGAGCCCCCAUUUGUCUCCCUUGCCUACAACUGUUCUUUUCCAA